rnacentral:rRNA from 1 species
ACUCCUACGGGGGGCUGCAGUGGGGAAUAUUGCACAAUGGGCGAAAGCCUGAUGCAGCAACGCCGCGUGAGUGAUGAAGGCCUUCGGGUUGUAAAGCUCUGUCUUCUGGGACGAUAAUGACGGUACCAGAGGAGGAAGCCACGGCUAACUACGUGCCAGCAGCCGCGGUAAUACGUAGGUGGCAAGCGUUGUCCGGAUUUACUGGGCGUAAAGGAUGCGUAGGCGGAUGCUUAAGUCAGAUGUGAAAAUCCCGGGCUUAACUUGGGAACUGCAUUUGAAACUGGGUAUCUAGAGUGCAGGAGAGGAAAGCGGAAUUCCUAGUGUAGCGGUGAAAUGCGUAGAGAUUAGGAAGAACACCAGUGGCGAAGGCGGCUUUCUGGACUGUAACUGACGCUGAGGCAUGAAAGCGUGGGGAGCAAACAGGAUUAGAUACCCCGGUAGUCCC